UUGCCGUCUGUAGUAUCUGCACUUUCUGUUUACUUUCUGAGCACUGCUUCCAAGUGGAACGGGAACAGUAAAGGAAUAUUUGGAUGAUAACUAUGGCACAAUUCAAUCACUCUGCUCCAAGAUCCGUUUCCCUGCUGAAACUAAUCCUGCCUGGAGAUGGUCUUUUGAUCAACCAUGGAAAGAUCCUUCUCUGAAUAAAUCAGAAAUGGAGCUGAUGGAGGAAGAGCAUGCCUGUCAAAGCCUUCACAUCAUAUUUUCUAAUGCCAUUGGCGUGGGAAAAGCACAGGGGUUUCCAGCUCUCUGUGUCGAAGAUGUGGAGAAUCUUGGCUUGUUUCAGUGGGAAAAAGAGGUCUUUGUUGGGUUCAGAAAUUUGUAGAUACUGCUGGUAAUGAACCGUUGUGGCACAACGAGAGUUCCAAUAAGAGGUCUGAUCAAUGAAGAAUCAUUGAGGUUGCAGAGAAAGGAGGCCAGCUAUAUAUUUAGCUUUUGGCCAACAAAGGACAGAGGAUGUUGAAACAGUGAAGAAGGAAUAUUUGGAUGAUAAUAAGGACACAAUUACUCACUCUGCUCAAAGAGAUACCAUUUCCCUAUUGAAACUAAUCCUGCUUGGAUAUGGUCUUUUGAUGAAUCAUGAAAAGGUCCUUUGCCUAACAAAUCAGAGAAAGAGCUAACGAAAGUAAAGCAUGCUUGCCAAGCCUUCUCAUCAUAUUUUCAAAUGCCAGGAAAAUUGUGGCUCGUUUCUGUGGAAAAUAUUCGUCUUCAAUGGCUCCAGAAAUCUGUAGAGCUGACUGUUAUGGAAUUGUUAUUCCAUAUGAUCCCCUUUAGCUUUUGUAGAUUAUUAUGUAAUUAUAUUUUUUUUGUAAUACCCAAGUGGUUCUUCUUGGGCAAAUUUGCAAGAGUUGCACCACUCUUGCAAAUGUUUUUAGCCAAUUUUUGAUAAUCUUUACUUCCUCUUCAUUAUGUACAUGAUAAUUAUUAGUCUUUGAACACAAUUUUGUUUAAUAAUUUUGAAAGAAGAUUGAUCUCUACUUCUUAA